rnacentral:sRNA from 1 species
CUUGAAUUGAUUACCUUUCGCCAUUUCUUCUUCCUCCCUUCACCCAUCCUCAAAGGUUUUGGCCACUUGACCAGGCAGCUGAUGACCCUGGCAGGGGGCCGGGUGGUGCUGGCCCUGGAGGGAGGCCAUGACUUGACCGCCAUCUGUGAUGCCUCUGAGGCUUGUGUCUCGGCUCUGCUGAGUGUAGAGCUGCAGCCCUUGGACGAGGCAGUCUUGCAGCAAAAGCCCAACAUCAACGCAGUGGCCACGCUAGAGAAAGUCAUCGAGAUCCAGAGUGCGUGGGGACACAUAGAGGGGCUCAGGCUGCCAAGGGGGCACGGAGCUUGUGGGAGCACCAGGACUGGGUCUGUUCAUGUGGGUGUCCUCUGCCCUCCCUGACCCCUUGCGUGUCUCUUGUCCACAGGCAAACACUGGAGCUGUGUGCAGAAGUUUGCCGCUGGUCUGGGCCGUUCCCUGCGAGA